rnacentral:lncRNA from 1 species
GAAUGGGAGAAACUCCCCAAAUACAGGCGUGCCAAGCUUGUAGCGUCAUACCAAAGAAGACUCAAAGCUGUAAUCGCUCCCAAAGGUCCCCUGGGUGGCAUAAAUGGCUGGGGGGUGUGGCUGCUCUAUGCCCUGGCGGCUCUGUGCUACAGUGCUGUCCUGCUCUCCAGCUCCUCCUUCCUAUUGGACUUCCUGGGGACUGGGAUGUCCCACCCUCGACUGGUGGUGUUACUCCACAUCUCCACAGUGGUUCUCCUCCUGUCUGUUCUGGGAGUUUGUGGGGCCUGCCUGUACAUCAUCCACUGCAACCUUCAGGAGGGCAAGUUUGGGCCACUGUGGGAAUGGGUAGGGGGCUGGACCUGGCCUGGGUCUGGCUCCAGGAGCCAGGGAGGGGCGGCGGGGAUGAAGCCUUACCCAGGGGAGAGCUUCUACAUCACCAUGCUGGGCCUGCUCUUCUCCUGCCUGGCCGGUGUGAGCAGCCUGGGGGACCCCACCUCCACCCAGAGGGACUACACAGCUGUGGUGGAGUGGGACGACAGUGACACAGAGCCCCUUACCCCCAGGGAGCAGGGAGUGGGACAGUCUGAUGAAGAGGAGGGGGUAGGAGACGUGUUGCCUGAACUGACUCAGGGGGAGGUGGGUGGAAGUGGAGACUGCUAAAGGGGUUUGAAUGUGUGGCCCAAAAGGCUUAGUUUCGGACUAGAAUGCAAACCACACCACACAUGGCCUGUAACAGACUUAAUUAGACAGCAGUGCUGGCGCCUUCCCUGGUCAUGUUUUGAAUUCCUAAAGCUUCACUGGACCAAGCUGGUGGAAUCCAGUCAGGAGCCAAAAAAGAGACCAGAUACGUUUCCUAAUGUUGUUUUAAUGUUUGUCUGCCUAAAACAUGCCUUCUCGGGGUAUGUACAGUUGCACAACAUCAAGUCAAUAACCCAUUUAUGGGUUUAAAAAAAAAAAUCCCUUGUGGGAGUUUAUGCCCAGCGUCUCACACUUGACUCCACCAAUAUAAAUCGUUCUUUGGCUAGCUGUGAUAUUUGGAAAAGUGUGACAAGAAUGUAACGCGGUUAAGCUAUUUCUGUCUGUGUGUGACCAGGGAAAGUGAGAGUCUGUAUGUUAUAAUCGAUGUGUGACACAAAUUAUAUGCCCUUCCUGCUCAUCAAUGGGAACAAGCUUUGACCCUGUUCACAUUACUGCAAAAUAACCACUGGGGAAUGUUCCGGAUCAGCGAAUGGUUUGUUACCAUCAGAACCAGAAAAUAUGUUCAAUGAACAGAAGUUCAGACUGCUCAACAUUGCGAUCCUAACAUAGCUCAUGUUUGUACAAUCACCUAGUCUCCUCUUCUAGUUAACAUAAAAAUCCCUAGAUUAAGGUUUUUCUGAUUCUUUUAACAGGUUGUUUUUUAACCUAUGCAUUAUUUUAACUUCUUAAACCCUUUGCACAGUCUUCCAUAGUGACACUUUAAGUUUCCCAAAUGGUGGAAACAAAUCACAGAUUUCUAUGGAAGAUUUACCUGAAGUGUACUGAAACUGGAGUUUCCUUUGAGAAAUUCAAUUUAAAAAGCCCAUUUUGGCUUCUAUUAUGGCCGCUAUAGCUUUAAUCACAAAUUGAGGAACUAUAUAUUAGCAUGGUUGUUUACUACAAUAGGAAAGAUUGAGUGGGGAUAGGAAGUCUUUCCUUUCCACAGUAGGUAGUGUAAAUACAUGGUUCUUGCUUUAAAUGACUUGCUAUCUAAUCAUAUUUGAAUAUGACGUAUUAAAUAUUUGAUGUACUUAAAUAUUUGUUUCAUAAAAUGACACUGCUAUUGGUCACUAGAUACUUCAGAUCACUGUGAAAAUAUAUCCCGGUUUGGCAUCUUUAGACGUCUACAUUACAGCACAAACCACUGUAUGUAUGCUUAUCCUACUUGAAGGUAACCAAUAAGACAAGCUACUUGAUGGUGCUUGGUUGCAUGUGAUGGUAGGACCAUGGAUAUUGACUUGAUAAAUUAAGAUGGCUGCCUAGAAUCAGGUUUUCCUUACCCGCUUAUACCCUCAAGGCCUGUUUCCUGGACAUAGAUUAAUCUUUGUCCUGGACUAGGAAACAUUUUCAAUGGAGAUUAUGUUUUUAGUUCAAGACUAGGCUUAAUAUGUGUCCGGGAAACCGUCAAUCUUUUCCUCAGGUACAUAGGAAGACAUUCCUUCUCUUAUUCCAGGGUCACAGUCCCAUCUCUAUGAAUCAGACUUCUCAUUGUUGUUGUUUAUGAUGCUAUUUAUUCAUUAAACUAUUUUUGCGUAUUUGUAAAACAUGUGUACAUGCAUUUUC